rnacentral:rRNA from 1 species
UACGGUGGGGGCAAGCGUUGUUCGGAAUUACUGGGCGUAAAGGGCUCGUAGGCGGCCAACUAAGUCAGACGUGAAAUCCCUCGGCUUAACCGGGGAACUGCGUCUGAUACUGGAUGGCUUGAGUUUGGGAGAGGGAUGCGGAAUUCCAGGUGUAGCGGUGAAAUGCGUAGAUAUCUGGAGGAACACCGGUGGAAGGCGGCAUCCUGGACCAACACUGACACUGAGGAGCGAAAGCCAGGGGAGCAAACAGG